AGUGGACCCAUUCCCUUGUUGACCCAGUCAACUGCUGACCAUUUGUCCUUGACAGUGGGUCCUACAUGUCGCUGACAAAAGGAGGCAGAGGCAAAAUGUCUAGAAAACAUCAAGUAAACGGUCAAACCCCUUUGACCUAACGGAAACGGAACAGAAGGGCAAUUCUGUAAGGGGAACUAACGGCGGAGGGGCAUUUUUGAGCAGGCUUUGGAAUUAGGGGUAUAUCUGAGUAGGUGGUUCGAGUUAGGGACAGAAAUGUAAAUGGCCCUAUUAUCUAUGGAUUCAUUCGAUUUACCGAUUAUGUGUAUGUUUAAGCACUUUUCAGUUUGCAUUUGGCCAUCCAUCUUUUUACUCAUAUCAUAGUAUCUUGGUACAAUUUGCAUUCUUUUCACACAGAAAAGGGUACAAUUUGCAUUUGAUCAGUCGGUUUUUCACCUCAUAGUUUUUCUUGUACACUUCGGCUUCUGAGCCUGAAUGUGCCAUCUGACUCUUCAUAUUCGAAACUACUUCAUUGAUGAUGGUUGUGCCCGACCUUUGUAUGAUAGGUAAAUCGAGUGGCUGAUGCCCUUUCUAAACAUAUGCAUGUUUCGCUAGAUUUAAGCAUCGUCUGAGAAUCGUGCGAUUUCUGUCGUGUGUAUAACACCACUCCUUCAUUUUUUUUGAGCGAAACGGCUACCUAGACAACAGUGCUGCCCGAUCUAUGCAUGACGUGCUAAUCCAGCCGCUGGUGCCCUUCUCAAUCAUGUGCAUGUCGAACCUCAACAAAAUAAAUCAUGUGCAUGUCCGGCUGGAUUUAAGUUCGUGUGUAUAGCACGGCUGUUUUUUUUAGGGAAAGCACGGCUGUUUUUUGAGUUGUGCUCUUCAUCCGGAAGAUAAUUACCACUCCGGAUUUUUUUUCUCUCCAUCUAAAACAGCCCGUACCGGUUCCCGUACUGGCCUUGUGGCCUCGCUCCUCUCUCCCUCCUCUCGUCGAUCCCUAUCCACUCCAAAGAAAAGGAAAAUAACCCCAUCGGCACCUGGUUCUUCAUCCACACGCAUCAUUUCGCCAGAUUUGCUAUCGCCGAAGGUGGCCGGGUGAGUGCGUGAACGCGUUUGAUGCGGUCUUCAGGGUGCAGAUGCUCGCCCACCUCGGCGAGUCCGGCGGCGAGGCCAUCAAGAGGUCCGGCGGCUAGUGACGGUGGUGGAUGUGCUGGAGGUUGGUGGCGUUGAGGGGGCAGUAAGGAAGCUGACGGAGAAGGGUGUGGAUUUCCUAGAUGAGUUCGUGCAAUGGAUAAUGGUCGGAUCUGAGGAGCGGGGCAGAGACUUGCACUGCGGCUAUGCUUCAUGAGAGCUAUGGGGUUAUGUAGACAAAUGUGAGAUCGUGCCAUAAGCAAAUGACAUCAAGAUCUGAGCACCGUUGCAGACGGCCUCGAGUUAUUUUCCUCUUCAUCUCCUACAAAAUGUUGCUUGCAUGGUCAAUUUGGGCAUCGGUUUGUUAAGCAGCAAAAGCUCGCAUAUUGAAUCUACUCAACUCAAGUGUUGAGAGUCUGGUUUUCCUCAAAAAGUGGCGAUUUCAUAUCUUAGAAGAAGUCUCGCAUUAGUUCAAAUUUGAACUAAAACCAUAACACUUAUUUUGGAUCGAGGGAGUAUGAAUUUGGUAUUGAUUCUUGUGUUGAGUUCCUGCACAUUUGGAGCAAAUCGAGUAUAAUAAUUAUCUUAGAUUGGUGAAUAAAGAUGAGUCAAGAUAAAUUAGCUGAGAAAUAAUAAAAGUUAGUCUUUCAUACCUGUCAACAAUUUCCCAAGUUUAUGGUAUAUCUAGAUCUGUAUAGAUUCUUAUGACACUUGACUUUAAGCAUAAUCAUGUUUAAUCAAAGUAAAUUCUGUUAGACAUAUUUUUAUAAGGGAGAAGUAUAUUUUUUGUCCCUAAACUCUUUCGAAAGUAUAGAAAUAGUUCUUGAAUUCAAAAACCAGCAAAACUUAGUCCCUCAACUUUUCAAACCGGAUUAGUUUAGUCCCUCAUACCGCUUCGAGUGGUUUCCAUCUGAUGUGAACUGACCUUUUGGACAAGAGGCCUGAGCAGGAGGAGGAGCUCGAGGCCGCGAGCUCGGACAAGCCCUCCGCGGGCACCUCCACUGACCGCGUUGGCCAUGCAUCCGAUCGGUGUAAGGUGCAGUCUAGGGAGCAACACAUCACGUGCGUGUGUAUUCUGGGCGAGAUCGGAUCAGCAUGUUCGUUGUGUUUGGCCUGCAUCUCCUGUGGGCCGAAUCAAUACGUAUGUUCACGUAUACCUACGUGUUUUGCCGGUGGCUAGAAUCAAUCCAGCAGCUAGUCUGCACUUCGUGUUCCUUCCUGGAGCACGCCUGCCUCACAGGAGACCCAAGGCCGCGCCCUGGUGCACCAGCUCAUUGCAGGAGCUCGCGAUCCCUGCUCGCGUGGUGCAGACUUGAGCCACCAGCGGUGGCAGCGACACGAGCAAAAGAGCAGCUUUGGGAGCUUCACGCUGUUGACCCUGCCUCCAGCACUCUUACAGACCAAGGGAAUACACAGGCCAUCGUUAAUCAGCCUCAUCAUGGACCACUCGGGCCGACGCGCACCGAGCCGCACCACGCCGGCUGCAGGCGCAGCCGUAUUUGCCCGUUGCACACACUGCCGGGCGCCGUCGACACGCACUGCCCGCUCACUGAGCAUUAUACCGAGCACCUUUCGUGCACGUGUCCGAGUCAAAAAUCACACUGCGUCAGCAGAAAAUCACCCUAAGCAAGACGAGGGAUUAAACUUAUCCGGUUUUGAAAGUUGAGGGACUAAACUUAUCUGGUUAAGUUGAGGGACUAAGUUUUGCUGGUUUCGGAGUCGAGGGACCAUUGCUAUACUUUCGAAAGAGUUGAAGGACGAAAAAUAUACUUAUCCCUUUUUAUAAUUAAUAGAAGAGCUUGUAACAUUAAUGAACUUACCAUUGAACUUCUGCACCAGUGAUGAGGAAUGGUUGUGCAUUAUGGACUUAAUCUUAUAUUAGAAUUCAAUCUGGCUGAAAUAUGAAGGUUCGGGGUUAUUUCUUUUUAUUAUUGAUUCCACAUGCUCCAUUUGGGUUGGUAGUCCAAUGACGUCUAUAAAAGCGGAGUUAAUUAUUUGAAAGUUUCAUCUAAUUUUUUUUCCUUUGUAGCAAACUCGAAGUAGUAAACUGGGUAACCUUCUGAUGAUCCUCUCACCUCCUUUACUUUUUUAAUGUAUGAAAAAUAACUAUAUUUCACUGCUUACUCGAAUAUACUUAUUCCACAAACUUAAAAUUGUUACAUAAAUAGAUUCUCAUUUAUCUUUGUUCUAUAUGUGUCUAUAAAUUAAACUACUUCCCGAUAGUCGCAAGAAUUGUUUGGCCAUGUGAAAACAAUCAAAACAUACUUAGUAGUUGUUGUAGAAAAUAACAGAACAGUUCGCAAGUAAAUAUAUGAUGACUAAACCUUUUCAUCGAUGAAUAUCAUACCGGCAUACUUAGUAGUUAAAACAAACAAUAGAACAAUCUGCUAAUAAAUAUGCAAUGGCUAAACCUUUUCAUCUAUGAAUAUCAUGCCGAGGUUCCAGAGCCAAUUAAUUGUAGGAUUGAUUGAAUUUCAUAUUCUCAUUACUUGCACUUGAAUACAUAGUUUCGUCCUCCUGUUGUGAACUCGCUAUGCUUGUUGUAUGCCAUUGCUGCAAAAGGAUCACAAAAUCGCUAGGGAAUUAUUAAUAAUGCACCUAUGAAGAUUGUAUGCAGAAUAACAAUUACAAACCUUGAUGAUUCAGGUGAGAGGCUACUCAGAAGGUAGAUUGGAUCCAGAAUAACAAUUGCGAACCUUGAUGAUUCAGGUGAGAAGCCACUCAGAAGGUUGCUUGGGCGUCACUACAUCUGGCUUGGUGACAUUACGUAGUUGAAUUGGAAGACUGAUUUUGUUGGCAGUGCGCUAGCUAGGUAGCAGAUUUGGCUGACUUCAAUUUUUGGGCAUGUGCUGGGUGCGGUUGCAUGUAUGUGUUUUUAUGUGCCGUGUUUGUCUUGGCAAGUCAUGUUUGUAGUCCGUAUACACGUCUUAUUUGCAUGUGUGUCCGAGUUUGAAAAAAAAUGAUGUCCUUAUUUGCUUAGGUUCCUUAUUUAUUUAUUUAUUUAUUUAUUUAGGUUUGAC
rnacentral:rRNA from 1 species